rnacentral:rRNA from 1 species
GACGAACGCUGGCGGCGUGCUUAACACAUGCAAGUCGAACGGAAAGGCCCUGCUUUUGUGGGGUGCUCGAGUGGCGAACGGGUGAGUAACACGUGAGUAACCUGCCCUUGACUUUGGGAUAACUUCAGGAAACUGGGGCUAAUACCGGAUAGGAGCUCCUGCUGCAUGGUGGGGGUUGGAAAGUUUCGGCGGUUGGGGAUGGACUCGCGGCUUAUCAGCUUGUUGGUGGGGUAGUGGCUUACCAAGGCUUUGACGGGUAGCCGGCCUGAGAGGGUGACCGGCCACAUUGGGACUGAGGUACGGCCCAGACUCCAACGGGAGGCAGUAGUGGGAAAUAUUGCGCAGUGGGGGGGAGCCUGAUACGGCAACGCCGCGUGCGGAAUGACGUCCUUCGGGUUGUAAACCGCUUUCGCCUGUGACGAAGCGUGAGUGACGGUAAUGGGUAAAGAAGCACCGGCUAACUACGUG